GAGAUGUGCAGCCGCAGGAUAACUCUGAUAGUGAAAGAAAGAUUGGUCGAGGAAGGCCACUGUUGGAAGACUGUGCCCAAUGAAACUAAGGAGUUUUAUUGGCAGGAAUUCAAGAAAUACUUCAUAUGGGACCAAGCAAUUGACAGCUUGGUAAAAAUUGCAUGGCA